UGAACACUUGGAAGGUUCCUGUUGUAGCUUAAUUUUACUGUUCUUCUGCCCUUUGCUGUGUUUUAGUUUGUUGUGUCGACAAGAGACAAGUGCUUGCAUAAUCAAGCAAGGGCGCAGCUUAUUUUAGUGCGCUUUUUGUUGAUUUGUUAGGGUUACAUGGCAACUUGUGAUAAUGGGAUUAUGAGUAUGAUACACUCUUGAUUUGUCCUCGUGUGCAUUUUUGGUUGGCCUUUUCUCCUAUUACGCGUGUGGUGUGCCAUACCCAUUCAGAGUCACGCGAGGUUUAUUUACCAAGGAGUGAAUUUCAAGAUAUAAUCAACUAAAAGGAUCUCUUAGUAGUACAACACACGUUGCAGAUGCAGCUUAGAUCAUUAUUGGAUGAACCCUGAAUUUUGCCCCAAGUUCACUUCUGGUCCUUAAGUUUUUCAAACUGUCGCAGUUCACGUUUGGACUCCCCAGGAUUUUGGCUAAUAUAUAGCGUCAAUGUGAGCUGUUAUUUUUUGUUGACAGGGUCUAUGUCAGCUGGUUUUAUUGAUGUAGUUGCCACAGACAAGAGCAAGGAAUAUCGGCCAAAGCCGUCUUCUUUUAUUCCAUUUCAUUCGUUGCAGAACUAGAUAGCCACCGAGCCACAUGAGAAGCUAUCCUCUACUCACGGUAGAAGUCACAGGAAAUCCUCACAGCCUCUUCUUGACGCUCUUGACGCCGUCGCUGUCGGACGAGCAGUCAAAGCUGUAUGAGACGUGGCUGCCUUGUCUCGCACAAUGCCUACUGCCUUUGCUCCCCUGAUGCCAUCGUUGUGUUGCGGCGCCGCUGUUUGUUUUUUUAAACAAGGCAAAAUAUUUACCGUUUUCAUUGAUUAAGAAGAAGAGAGUUGUCUGAUUAAUUAAAGAAAAACUGGACGAAAAACCUAAAUUACAAACCCCACAAGGGGCACACACGAACGACCUGGCCACAAGCAAGAUCACGACACAACCAAUGAUAUAGCCGUCGAGAGGUAGCACCAAACAACAAAGCAACGCCAAACAGUUGACCGCAGCGUCGAGGACGUGGCAGCUCUGAUUUUGCCGACGAGCAUCACAGGAGAAAGUUGCAAGCCUCGCACCGACCUAGUCCAACGCAACACCCGAAGAGCAGCGCUCGUUGGAAACCGCCCUCAUGUUUUCCUCGUGCUGGUGGAUGGUCUUGAUCAAGGGGGCCGCCAUUGUUGAGCUGAGCGUGUCCGUCAUUGACCACGUCGCUGGGGCAAGAAACUAGCGGUUCAGAAGAAAUCGAGCAGCGGCAACAUGUUCUGUUUUACUCGCAUUAACAAUGCAAAAUAAAUAAAUUUACGAGAGAAACUGUCGAUCUAUUCACGUCAUAUAUAAAUCAUAAAAGUGACAAGCACUAGAGCGAGUCGAAGGCGCGCCGCUGUCAUCAUCCCCCAUCACAGGAGCAGGACAAACCUUAUUGUAGUACACAGUCGGGAAGUCGACGUGCUCUGGCCUCAUAGGACCAGUGCACCAGAGCAGCAACCAUCACCGAUGAAGAAAGUCGUAGAUCAAAAGGACUAAAUCUAAACACAUCAACAAAGGCGAACGAAGACCGGAUCCAAACAGAUCCACCUAAGACCAGCACCGACCGAAUCCCGCGAGGUACGACGGAGACACGUCACCACACGCCGUCCGACGAUGCUAGACACCCUGUCGAGAAGAGGAUCAAACGCGAGGGGCAUUAUUCUUAUCGAGGCUUCAUUCGGNNNNNNNNNNNNNNNNNNNNNNNNNNNNNNNNNNNNNNNNNNNNNNNNNNNNNNNNNNNNNNNNNNNNNNNNNNNNNNNNNNNNNNNNNNNNNNNNNNNNNNNNNNNNNNNNNNNNNNNNNNNNNNNNNNNNNNNNNNNNNNNNNNNNNNNNNNNNNNNNNNNNNNNNNNNNNNNNNNACCCCGUGGCUCGGCCAGGAUUGUCGUGGGCGGGGAUAUAUCCCCGUCUGCUUCAUACAGUGCAUUCGAUCAUACCAGACAGGGAUAGAAACCCUAUCAAAUCCCCCCGCAACCCUACGGUUUUGACCCAAAAAACGCCCUCCAUAUGCGUGGAAUUAAUCCCGCCAUUGUUGCAGAGAAUGGGUGAAGGGGCGGGGUCAACCCAACACCCGUGUGGAUUGGAUCCUCUAGGGGGUCAAAUCCCUAAUAACCGAACAUAGCUUGUGGAACAUCGCCAUCGCUGCGCAACCCCAACCAAGAUACCUAAUAAGAACGAGAGCAUGGUCCCUCCCGCCAGCGGGGGCUGAGGUCCUCCGCAUCUCUGUGGCCCAAAUGGCCAUCGGAGGUGGGGAGAACCAGCGGCGGCGCCACAGGAGGAAGAGAAAGUCCGAUCGCCUAUGGUCCUUUCUUUGAUCAAGUCACAUAUAUUGUUUUUGUUUAUAUCAAGCCAUGGAGAUUGUGAUUAUUAUGAAUUUUUUUGGGUCUGGAUUGUGAUUGUGAUUAUUAGUAAUGCAAUUUGAUACCCUUUAAGUUUGUGUUUACGUUGCCGAACCAAACACUUCAGAGUUUCAUAUCUUUUCUUUAAACACAAGAGUUUCAUAUCUAAAUUCUCUAGAAACAAAAAAGAAAAUAGUAGCUAGUUUAAAUUGGGACAUUAAUUCGGCCCAUCAACACUAUUAGCAGUAUAUUUGCAUAUUUGUUUUUCUCGAGAAACACAGUGAACUUGGUUCUGAAAUUCCAUACAUUGUGAACUAUUUGUUUUACAACUUUAAGAAACCCAUAUACGGAUGAAAUUUUAUUCUUUUACAGACAAAAAUACUUGGGAGUAUUUUACUUGUGGGAGUACUUGAUAUGCUCUGAUGUCCUCCUAGGAUUUCAUGUUAAACCACUGUAGGGUCUAAAAAGAUAAACUGUUUAGGCUCCGGUUAUUUUGACGACUUACGACAUAAGCCGCCCCUUCCAAACUUAUUUUAGAAGCUGACCCUAUAUUCAUUGGGACUCGUGAGCGGCGGGGGGUUAUUUUAGAAACUGCCAAAAGAAGUACUCCCCCCGUCCCAAAAUUCUUGUCUUACAUUUGUUUAGAUACGGAUGUACCUACUACUAAAACGUGACUUCAUACAUCCGUAUUUGGAUAAAUCUAAGACAAGAAUGUUGGGACGGAGGGAGUAGUCAUUAGUGAGUUCAGUUUCAGUUUUAUGCUUUGUACUGCUUGAAAGUUCUAGGGCCAAAAGUGAGAUUGGGCAAAGUUGAAGGUCCAAAAGCGGACUUCUUUCUUAUUGAAUUGAUUACAGAAAGGUGCCAUAAAUCAAUCGACGACAUUACUGAAACGGAGCAUGUUCCCUGAACAAAACGAAAUUCAACUUCUAAGGCGCCACUUCCAGCUUAGGAUUCAAUCGCACUAGGCUCUAACACUUCAAAAUUUCAAAUCACGCAUUUUCUUCUGAUUUUGACGGUCACCAUAAUCCUUGCUUCAUCGCGUUCAUGGCCGAUCACCGCUCGAGCUCUUGGGCGCCGCCUGUCCUCCUGCCUGUCCGGUCUCCGUCUCCUCCUGGGGCUCGUCUUCUUUGUCGUCGACGAGUAUCUUCUUGCAGGCCUCGUAGCACAUGAAGGAGAUGCCGGCAGCGGGCAUGAGCUUGAUGCAGCUGGGGCCGAGCCCGCGGUAGAGCCCCGCGGCGCCCUCCUUCUUGAGGAUGCAGUACAUGGCGUGCAGCACGUUCUUGUACACCUGCCUCCCGCCCACGGCGCCCACCUGCAUCUGCUUCCGCGCCACCUCCAGCGGGAACGUGGCCGUGCUGGCGAUGGCGCCCGCCGCGGACCCGAUCAGCAGCGUCGGCACGUUGCCCACCUCCUCCUUCCCCGACGCGCGGCGGUACACGCCGCGCAGCGUCUCGUAGGCGUAGAAGUUGGCCGCCGCGUACGGCACCACGCCGAUCAGGCUCGGCGCCAGCCCGCGGUACAGCUCCCCGGGGCCUUCGUCGCGCACGAUCUUGACGAACGCGUGGAGGAGGUUGUCGUACACGUCCUUCUGCAUGCAACGCAACGGGGUCGUCAGUCAGAUGGCACUGCCACUGGUUUAGAUAUACGUAGUACUGUACUGGAAUUCUGUGUGUUCACCUCGAUGGUGAGGCGGGUCUUGACGAGCUCCAUGGGAUAGGUGCACAGGGUUGAGGCCACUCCGGCGAGCGCUCCGGCGACGAGCGGCGUGGGGAUGGGGACCUUGGCUGGCUCGCCGGCCUCCGGGGUCAGGUACUUCUUGGCCGUGUCGUAAGUGAAGUGCUGCACCGCGCCAUGUGGAGUCAGGGACACUGCAUCUCGCAUCAGUACGAAAUUUGAAGGAAAAACACGUGAGGUGGCUGGCUGGCUGGCUUGCCUCGAUGGCCUUGCUGGGCGCGACGCGGAGGACGUUGACGGCGUUCCCGCGGAAGAGGCCGGGCCACCCCUCCGUCCGCAUGAUCCACCGGAAAACCCCGGCCAUGGAGUCGGCGCCGGAGCUUCCCACCAUCAGGUGCGUCCUGAUCGUCUCCAGCGGCGCCACGAAAGUCCUCGACACGGCGCCGGCGAUGGCGCCGCUGACCAGCCGCCGCAGGUGCGGGUUGCCGAUCUUGACCCUCACCUUCCUCAGACCCAGCUGCUGCUUCUUGGCCUUUUUCGCCUUCUGGGCCUUCUGGACGCCCGCCUCGCCCGCGGCUGCGAGCUGGUGUGCGACGUCGUCGGCGGGCCGAGCCUUCCCGUCAUGCUCGCGCGCCACCGGCGGGGCGCCGUGGGACAGGCUGAGUCCUACGCUGGCGAACAGAGCCCUGCGUGGGAAGUCCAAGCUCCUUGACUCGGGCUGCGAGCUCCAAGGGAAGGCGACCUCAGGGACCGGCCGCAAGAACCAGUUCUUCUUGUCCAUGGCGAGCGAGGCGCGGUUGUUCUUGGUCACCAUUGUCGUUGCCGCCAUUGCCGCCGCCAUCUGAUUCAACUCGAACACAUAAAGGAUUAUUAUAUGCAAGGGCGAAAGAGCUAAGUUGUACAGUGACUAGUGAGCAAGAGUGCAAGAGCAAGGCUAAGAUCAGCUCAAUUCAUACCACAAAAACCUAAAAAUGUCCAUGCAAGUUAGGCCACAAAACACACAAGGGAACACCAAGAUCACUCAAAAUGGCAUUAUGGUGAUGGAAUUAGAUCUUAAGAGCAGAUUUGGUUAAUCCAAUUUAGCACUGAGGUACUGAUAAACACUACUGAAAACGCUCACACACGCAUCAGGUACAUAAAAGGACAGAAUCUAAGCUGGAUGAAAACUGAAAACGUUUCCCACACGCAUCUAUUCAAGGUAACAAAUUAUUUAAAUGAAAAUUUAUAUGAACCAGUACUAUUUUUGACCCGGUUAUAUAUACGAAUGACUUAAAGUUCAUUUCUAUGCAUUAAAAUUAACAUGCUUUUAUUAUAAACUGAGCGAGUAAAAUAUAUUCAGCUUAUUUCUCUUUUAGCCGACCCCUAGUCAUGGAAAAGGAAAACGAAUAUCGAGACUGUUGUGCAGUCUAACUAUACGCAUACCUCGAGGAAGGAAGACGGAACUGAUACGUGCCUAGGAGUUCUUCAGUCCUUCACUCACUCACUGGCCUCUCUCGUUGUUGGGAAUGGGGGUGGCUCGACGGCCAUUUUAUACCCGUUUCAGCACUCUCACCAUCAACUGCCGUGUCCAGUGAGCAACGAUGUCCGGCCUCUAUCAUGGCCUCUGCCAUCUCUGCCCCUCAACCGCACCCCAGUACCACCGCACACGGUCGCUGAGAUCCGUCGGACAUGAAGGGCAAUCCGGUCUAAUCGUCGAAGCGGAUUUGGAGCCGUCUGUGCCAAUCUGUGCAUACGCCAGAAUGGCCUCGUCUGCUUCCAUCAAAAAGAAGAAGAAUGGCUUCGUCUGGCUUCGGACGUGCGUGUGUCUCAUGCGUGCAUGGAUCCGCACUCGCCAGCCGCAACAGCCUUUGUUUUUGCCAGUUCAGUUCCUACUCGCGGAAGAAGAAGGCGACGGAAACCGGUGGGUAGCCGCGAGGGGCGCACACAGCAGCCGGGUCACGCUGGCCAGGCCGCCAGGCACGCACGCUGCUUUAGAACUGAAUCUUUCCUGAUGUAUCAAGAUGUAAUUAACCACGAGUCUACAUGGUAGUGCUAAGUCCUGUUUGAAAUAAAUGGGCUUGCCCAUUAAGAGCAUAUACAUCGGGGCACCCUAAACCCACCUCAAACGCCAGGCGGACAGCCCGGUCAAUGAUCGGUCAUAAAUAAGCAACCCAGAUGAGCGCCUCAACGGACCUUAAACGCCCGAGGCUGACCGGCACCCCUAAUAUCCAGCCAAAAUCUAGGACGGAUAUAGGGGCGUCUGGACGCGUCCGCCACGUCAGACCCGGCCCACGUUGGCCCACUCGACCUCACAUAUAUUCCUUCCCAUCCGCUCGACGGAUCAAACCAUAGCCACUUCAUUUCACUCUCUUCUGCCACCCAAGCUCUCAUCUGGCGAUCUCCGGCAUGACGGGCAGCGGAUCCGAGUCCUAUACUUCCAGAACUGUCGAUCUCGAGCUCAUCCCACGUGGCCCCGAGGAGGAGAUGGUCGUCCCGCUCUCGGGAGGAGGCCGCUCGACGGCAACGUUUAGACUCCUUCUGUUGGGAAUCCAUUGCAUCAGCCCAUAUGGCGCAUGGAUCCGCGCUAUGUGUGCCAUCGCCGCCUCACCGAAGGCGGUGCAGUCUGGCUGGCGUACAAACGCGCUGGCGGACACGCAACCCCUCCGUUGGUGCGUCAAGGCCAUGGAUGCACCAUGGGCGUCGUUCGACGCAAACAUGGCGCGGCGUGCCCACCGUGCAAGGCAGCGGGCACGGGAAGCGGCGGUAGCCCUCGCGGCGGUGGACAUUGGCGAGGCGGAUUCGCAUUCUCCGGCACCCUAUAUGGCGCACCACUCCAGGCGCUGCAACCGCGUCAUGGUGGAUGUCUCCGCCUCAUCCCAGGAUGGAUCCAUCAUCGAUCUGACGUCCACCGGCACCGUCCGGGUUCUGAGUUCCGACGAGGAAGAGUAGGGCAUGGGAGACGACGGAGCCUUGAGUCCCGUGAGCCGGCUCGUGUUCCAUGCGUUACUCUACCUUGCCGACGACCGGACCAACACUCUGUGGAGCGCAGUCGGCCAUCAUAUGUGGGCAUGACGGAGCCGGACGAGCUCCGCUUAAAGAUCAAUUUAUGUUGCAUGUAAUAAUAUGGAUUUGAGAUUUCUAAUUUGAGGUAUCCGGUUGUAGAAUCAAAUAUUUGAGACGUGACCGACCACUAUCCACGGACGCGCCCGGGCACAUCAGCGAACGUUUGAGGGGUCAGAUUUGACAAGUCUGGCUAUAGACGCUCUAACAAAUUCUAAAAUCUCAAAUGGGCCCAUGAGAAAAAUGGCAAGUGAACUAAGUUGGUUUGAGAUCGUGAUCGUGACAGAUACCACCUCUCACUAAAAAAAAACUUCCGUGAUGAUAUGUUUUUGUCACAGUAGGUCAUGUUUUUCUGACAUGCAUGUGUUUUUCUAACAUGCAUGUACAUCCGUAAUGAUUUAAUGACAGAAUCAAGAUAGUCAUACA
rnacentral:lncRNA from 1 species